UAAUACGAAGGGUGCGAGCGUUGUUCGGAAUUACUGGGCGUAAAGGGUUUGUAGGCUGAAAUGUAAGUCAAGUGUGAAAUCCCCGAGCUAAACUUGGGACGUGCAUUUGAAACUGUGUUUCUUGAGUAUCGUAGAGGGUGGUGGAAUUGUAGGUGUAGGAGUGACAUCCGUAGAGAUCUGCAGGAACAUCAGAGGCGAAGGCGACCACCUGGCCGAUGACUGACGCUGAGGAACGAAAGCGUGGGGAGCAAACAGGAUUAGAUACCCUGGUAGUCCACGCCGUAAACGAUGAUAACUAGGUGUUGGAAGAAUUGACCCUUUCAGUACCGUAGCCCACGCGCUAAGUUAUCCGCCUGGGGAGUACGGCCGCAAGGCUAAAACUCAAAUGAAUUGACGG
rnacentral:rRNA from 1 species